rnacentral:rRNA from 1 species
UACGUAGGGGGCUAGCGUUGUCCGGAUUUAUUGGGCGUAAAGAGCGUGUAGGCGGCCAGAUAGGUCUGCUGUGAAAACUCGAGGCUCAACCUCGAGAUGUCGGCGGAAACCAUUUGGCUAGAGUCCGGAAGAGGAAAGUGGAAUUCCUGGUGUAGCGGUGAAAUGCGCAGAUAUCAGGAGGAACACCGAUGGCGAAGGCAGGUCUCUGGGCCACUACUGACGUGAGAAGCGAAAGCAUGGGGGAGCGAACAGG